ensembl:lncRNA
CGGGGAGGGAAAAUGGCUAAUUGGGCCCAAUUUGGACAUUUUCAUUUAGGGGUGUACUCACUUUUGUUGCCAGUGAUUUAGACAUUAAUGGCUGUGUGUUGAGUUAUUUUGAGGGGACAGCAAAUUUACACUGUUACACAAGCUGUACACUCACUACUUUACAUUGUAGCAAAGUGUCAUUUCUUCAGGGUUGUCACAUGAAAAGAUCUAAUCAAAUAUUUACAAAAAUGUGAGGGGUGUACUGACUUUUGAGAGAUACUGUAUACAAAAAUGUAUUAUUAUUUCUGGUGUACACAUUAGUAACAAGGACUUGACGGUGGACGAGGCAUCCCUGUCGAGGCCGCUGGUAUCGAGUCCAACUUGUUUAUCGAUCAAAAACCUUGACAAGUAAUUUACAAUUAGACACCUCAGGUAGCAUCAUAACAUACCGGAACAACAAGCACGGCAAGUUCACUCAUAAAUCUUUUAAUAUGUACAGGCCACAUUGUACAACUGAAAAAUGUCUUAUCAAAAACUCCAUCACAACUUCUUACAGUGUGACAAACAUUUGAAGUAAAAUUAAAUAAAGAAGAAAACAAAACAACAACAACAAAAAAAAACAUUUAGGAAUCAAAACUAUUGAAGAAGUCCAAACUAGGAACCAACACGACUUUCGUUCUGUGUAAAACUGAGUAGAUAUAAAAAAAUAAAAAAUAAAAUAAACAGGAGAAUGCCAAAUAAAUACUGUACAAGCAAAAGUACUGUGAUGAUGAAUCCCACCUGCGGCCCCGAAACGUUACUGACGGGACAGGAAGUGGAACGUUGUAGUGUGGGACAGCUGUGACGGGGCUUCAUUAAUGCAGUAUCUCGUUGUGGGGGACACACAACUCAAAUUCAUGCACACCAUCGUUCCAACAGUACAGGAACACACACUUUGGCUGGAGUACUGUUUGGAUACAUUAGCACCAUAAUAAAUAAAGGUUUGUUUGUUGAUAAGCAUAAUCAUGUAUUAAAGCCUCAAUUAGCCUGUGACGUCCGGAGAGACUCCAUCCUGGAUGAAUCAUGGCAUUGUUUUUUUUGUUUGUUUUUUUUCCAUCGACUUGUGAACAGGGGUUUGAGAUCUUGCUUUGACUUGUAGAUCCAACACCUCUGAAAGCUUGGGUUGGUCAAAACCUGUGUGUGCAAGUCCAUCCAAAUAAAGAACAAAAGCUGUGUGGUAAAAACAGUCACAUGAGCCCUGAGUGUUUAUGAAGUUCAGUUUGUUUUGAGAAAACUGGAAAACGUGAAAUACCUGGAAGCUUUUGGGAGUCUUAUUGCCUGAAAAAGUUUAAGAAAAUCUUCCUGAUAAAUACUGAUCAAAUGAAGACGGUUGAAUGGGAGGACUGUUUCCGUUGAACGCAGACAGAACACACACUGCCUCGUGUCUCUGCACACUCCAAUGACGUUGUCAGGGCAGAGUAUAGCAUCACGAGGGACGAUGAAAAUGGACUUAUUGUCCUUAUUUGGCAUACAAAAACAGGGCCUUGAGCUUGAGCCUGACAAUUACCCGAGGUUGUUCAGACUACACGGAAACAGAGCAAACUGACAAAACACACACGUAUACACACAAUAACGUGAAGUUGUAAUAAUAAUAAUAAUAAUAAUAAUAAUAAUAAUAAUACAAACUAAAUCCACACACGUUGUUGGUUGCGGUUGCAAAACCUUUUUUUUCCCUCCUCACACAAAUUAAGACACGUCUUAGAAAAAUAAAUACUCUUGUAAUUCUUUGUAAAAAUGAGUAGCCAAAUCCAAUUCUAUGACAAAAAAAUCUAAAUCCCCACUUUCCUCCCUGCAUUAUUAUACCAAUCAUCAAUGAAACAAAAGUUAGUCUUAAUUGUUUUUUUAAACGAUACUCAGCACCAGUUCAGACAGUGUGUGUCUCUCCAUUCACUCGAGCUUGAUGAGCCAGCAAAGCUUAUACUGUUGUAGAGGGGAGAGAAGAACAGGAAUGCAAACAUUAAAAUAGGGAACGUUGUUAAUUUGGCAGCAACAUCAACGUGAUGUUAAGAGAAGUCGUCCCCAGGAUGAGAUUGAGUAUCGAGCUUUCCUAACUGGAUCUAUAUAUAAUUUUUUAAAAAUAAAAUAAGAAAAAGCGCUAUGCAGCUCUCAUUAUAAACGCAGAGAACAUAUGCAGAGGUGCCAAUACUUCUGACAAGCACAUCCAAACACGCAACGAAACUAAUUUAACCAAACCUCAGUGUGUAUCGGUGAACAAGUCAGCAACUCGUCUCCGUGCCAACAGCGGAAAUGAGAAAACGUCUGAAGUGGAUUGAAGCGAUACAUAGUUACAGAAAUGUUGGGAUUUUAUAAUUUUAUGUCUCUCGUAUUGUACAUCUUAAUAUACUCCAGCUAAGAUAUUUACUUAUUUGGAGACAUUUGUAGAGCUGAGCAUCAAGUACAUCGUAUAUUCCUUUCAAUAAGAUGUAUAUAUUGUAUGCUACACUAUACGAAGUACUACAUUCAUAAAAAUGUCAUCUUGGCAAGUUGCUGUGGUGUAAGAGGAAAUUUGUACGAUGGAGAUUUAGGGCCACUGUUUAAAAAAUAAAAAUACAAGAUUACGAGAAUCAAGUCGUAAUAUUAUGAGGAGCAUGCUAUUUUGAGAUAAAAGUCGUAAUAUUUGUAAUAUUUCAAGAAUAAAGUCGCAAUAUUUCGAAAAUAAAAGUCGUAACAUUUCGAGAAUAAAGUCCCAAUACAAAAAAAAGUCACAUUAUUUGAGAAUAAAGUCGUAAUAUUCGUAAGAUUUCGAGACAAAAGUCAUAAUAUUUUGAGAAUAAAGUUCUAACAUUUAUUUAAAAAAUAAUAAUAAUACACAU